rnacentral:misc_RNA from 1 species
AAGUCGUAACAAGGUUUCCGUAGGUGAACCUGCGGAAGGAUCAUUUAUGAUUGGCCUUCAUGGCCUUAUCAAAAUCCACACACCUCUGUGAAUUGUUGGCCUCCGGGCCCUUACAAAACUUGGUGUAAUGAACGUAAACAUACAAAACAUAAUAAAACUUUCAACAACGGAUCUCUUGGCUCUC